GAGGGGGUGGGAGGAGAUGGUGGUGGUGGGCGGCGGCGAGCUCCACCCAGCUGGCGGCUGGGAUCGCGUGGUACCGACGAGGCUACAGCGGGAGCGGGGUGACGAUGCCCUUCAAGGCCUUCGCCAUUGCCACCAUGUUCGUCGGCUCCGGCGCCACCGCUGUGGGCGGCGCUCUUCUCGCCACCGGCAUCGACGACGUAGAUGACAUGAAGGAAGUUGGUGCCAGUGUCAGGAGAUGGAUGAUGCGGAGUCCUCCAGGAGGAACUUGAUAGAAGGCAUAAUAUAUAAUCUUGUCUUUUUAUUUGGCCACGGCGACAUGGUAAAAUUUCACCACCGGUUGGCUUUGUUAGAGCCAUAAUUCUGUAAUUUUUUUCUUUUUUUGUUUCGAUGUGAGUCAACCUUCUGUAGUUGGAUGAAUUGCACAUCAAAGAGAUGGGUGCAGUGCCUCAGAUGUGAUAAGCUGAUGGCUUUCUUGUUUUGCUUCAUCUCCUAAGCAAUUGAGACACUCAAGCGGUGGAUUCUCUGCUUAUGUAGUGAGACAAAGUGACUUGAACAGUUAAGGCUUGUUGCAAGAGCUAAACUAUUGGGUUGUGCUAUUACUUUGGAAAGUUCCAUUUGGAUAACAAGAUGAUGUCUUUCAUGUCACAA